rnacentral:rRNA from 1 species
GACGAACGCUGGCGGCGUGCCUAAUACAUGCAAGUAGAACGCUGAAGAGAGGAGCUUACUCUUCUUGGAUGAGUUGCGAACGGGUGAGUAACGCGUAGGUAACCUGCCUUGUAGCGGGGGAUAACUAUUGGAAACGAUAGCUAAUACCGCAUAACAAUGGAUGACACAUGUCAUUUAUUUGAAAGGGGCAAUUGCUCCACUACAAGAUGGACCUGCGUUGUAUUAGCUAGUAGGUGAGGUAAUGGCUCACCUAGGCGACGAUACAUAGCCGACCUGAGAGGGUGAUCGGCCACACUGGGACUGAGACACAGCCCAGACUCCUACGGGAGGCAGCAGUAGGGAAUCUUCGGCAAUGGGGGCAACCCUGACCGAGCAACGCCGCGUGAGUGAAGAAGGGUUUCGGAUCGUAAAGCUCUGUUGUAAGUCAAGAACGGGUGUGAGAGUGGAAAGUUCACACUGUGACGGUAGCUUACCAGAAAGGGACGGCUAACUACGUG